rnacentral:rRNA from 1 species
GGAAUAUNGUCAAUGGACNGAUUUUGAACCACCAAGUAGCGUGCAGGAUGACGCCCNUAUGGGUUGUAAACUGCUUUUAUGCGGGGGAUAAAGUGCGCAACGUGUGGCGUUUUGUAGGUACCGCAUGAAUAAGGACCGGCUAAUUCCGUGCCAGCAGCCGCGGUAAUACGGAAGGUCCGGGCGUUAUCCGGAUUUAUUGGGUUUAAAGGGAGCGCAGGCGGAGGCUUAAGCGUGACGUGAAAUGUAGCCGCUCAACGGCUGAGUUGCGUCGCGAACUGGGUUUCUUGAGUGAGUGCGACGUNAGCGGAAUUCGUGGUGUAGCGGUGAAAUGCUUAGAUAUCACGAAGAACCCCGAUUGCGAAGGCAGCUGACGAGCCCUUUACUGACGCUAAAGCUCGAAGGUGCGGGUAUCGAACAGGAUUAGAUACCCUGGUAGUCCGCACGGUAAACGAUGGAUGCCCGCUGUUGGCGACACACUGUCAGCGGCCAAGCGAAAGCGUUAAGCAUCCCA